rnacentral:lncRNA from 1 species
GCGCCUCCCCGAGCUGAGCCGCGCGUCCCGAGCCCAGCCUCUCCGGGGAGGAGGGACCCGGCGGCGCGGCGUGGGUCGGGAGCGGGCGCCUGGGACUACUUCUCGUUUGAAAGUUUUCAGAGGCCAAAAGUUUGAGCCGGGGCUGCGGAAGGAUCCGGCUCUGGCGGUUGCCGCGCUCGGCGACAACUGGCGACUGAAAUUUGCAUGUGAAUAAGCGGAGGAGCCCGGGGCGGAAUGGGGAGGGCGAGGCCGCGGACAGCCGUGUGCACCGUGCGCUGGGCCGGGCGGGGAGCAGCUGAGGCCACGUUGGGGGACCCCGGGCCCGGGGCAGGGCUCUGGGAGAGUGGCCUAGCCGUGUGUGCGCCCCUAGCCCAGCGGCUUCACUCCCUCCCGAGGGCCCCGUGGCCGCGGCUUUAGGCGUCCAGAGGAUCGAUCGCCGCCAGACAUCCCUGGCCGUGAUUGCCCGAGCACUUGACCGCGAGGGAUGGGGGCGCCGCGGCCUCUGGGCAGGGGACUCCGGGCGCCCCGAGGGAGCAGCCGGGACCAGUGCCUCGCGGACGGAUUGUGCCCCGCUCCCCCAAGGGGGACCCGCGUCGACACGCUCCUCGGUCACCGUCCUCCUCCUGCCCGGGCGCCGCCUGCCUAAGGUGGCCCCAGAAAGCACAAACGGGUCGGGCGGAUCUGCCGCUGGCGCCGGCGCAGCCCUUCCCACGUGCUCCUUCCGGCUGAUUUAUUUCUCCACCACGAUGCCAGGCACGGGCACCCUGUGCCAAGCCUGGUUAAGCGCCAGGAGUCCAAAAUGCCUGCCAUAGUCCCUGCGCAAAGUUCACGGCCUCGUGCCAGGGACAGACAGCGCCCCCUCCCCACCCCAACACAGGGUGGUGAGUGCGAUGGCAGAAGGCGCGUGUCCCGGCGCCCCUCCUGGAGUAGGAGGGCUAAGCCUGCCCUGCGGGGAGACCGAAAGGCUGGGAGGGACCUAGGACUGUGGGGGCCUGGGGGGAGGGCUGCAGAAACCCCAGAGCAUGGUGGCAGAGGCAGGCACAGAAAGCAGGACAAAUCUCACACCUGACCCCAGCAAGCCUUUCCUGGCACACCUCUUGCCAAAUGCUGAGCACUCUGGAAACAGCCAGUGCAGGCGGCCUGUCCCGCCCCUGUAGCUGCUGCUGGGAGCCUCCCUCGCCUGCGUCCUCCCAGAAUCUGGCCUCACUUCUGCAGGCCUGGGGUAACAUCUUGGGGUCAGCGCCCCAGGAGAGGAGGCGCCUGGAGGCAGCAGAGAUGUUUAUGUAACAGCAGCCAGGCAGCCUGGAGGAGCAGAUUUUCCAUAGAAGGAAGCGCGGGGCUGUGCAGCUCCCAGGCUGAGGACUCUGCCCACCACGACGUCCUCUGCUCCUGGUGGGUGGGGGUGGGGUGGGGCAUAGGGAGGCCCGAAGGCCUCAGGCCUGGUGCUGAUCGGGUGCGGGUGCGACUGCCUGUGUGCCUCCAUUGGCAUCUCUGCCUGUGGGCCCCAGGCCAGAAGUAAUGGCCCAUGUAGCCCAGGCCCGGGGGCCAGUCCUCAGCAUUUUGCGGAGGGGCGGCCUGGGAGGGGAGGAGGGGAUCCCUGGAUAGGGGGUCUCCCCUGGUCUGCCCCAGCUGUGCCGACAGCACCUCCACCUUGGGCCUCCAUCCUCUACCAGCAGAGAAGAGAGUGGCCCAUUCGGUGUCCACCCGUCAGGCCACCCAGCAGCCAGGCACGCUCAUAAGCCCGCGUUACGGAUGGUGCGGCCGGGUGCACAGGCCCGAGGGAAGCACAGGCCUCGGCCUCCCAGCUCCCAACCCCUGCACCACCCACAGCCGGGAGUACCCCAUGGACAGCUGUGGCCGAGGAGAAGCCAGGGAUGAGGGGGAUGGGCCUCACCUCCCCACCAGCCUGGGAAGGGGGUAGGCCCCUGGCAAGUAGGUGAGAAGCUUUUUCAUUCACAAGUUGUCCGGGCUCCCCAUUCCUCUUUGUCAGGCCAGCGGGUGUGGGCAGUCGGGGGAGGCUGGGGUCCUGACACAACAGGAGUACAUCUGCUGGCCUAGGGCCUGGAGACCUUCUCCUACAGGUCGGGAGGCAGCCCUGGGCAGCGGGCAUUGCGGGGACUAAAGAGAAACAAGAGCAGGUUGUGUGCAGGGCACCCCAGCCACUCCAGAAACCCAAUGGGAGGGUGGGGGCUAGGACCCCAAGAAGCUGAAUUGGGGUGCAGUGCCGCCAGGCCUCCCCUGUAGGAGUCACUUUGGGCUUCCUGUCCCAACUUGUGGUGGGAGCUGGGGCAAGGUUCCAGGGGUACCCCGAAUGAAUGGGGCUGUUCCCAAGCUGGCCAGGGAGCCUGGAAGCAGAUGAGAUGGGGCCGCAGAGCCUGGUUUGCGGAGGGGAGAGGCAGACGUGUCCUGCAGCCCUCUCUUCUUCAGAGGCCCCCUGCGGGUGCUGAGGGGAGAGUGGCUUAGGCGUUGCACCCCAGGAGACUGAACUGGGUCAGUUCCCCCUUGUUUGCUGCCAGAGAAAUGGGGGUACCAUUGUCAGGGUGAGCUAAGGAGGCCCUGCUGACAUUGGCCCAACCAGGCCCCUCCUUUGCGGCUGCUGUGGGGACUUUCGAGAGCAGAGCACACCCCUAAGUGCGUGGAGAGGAGGGAAGCUGAGGCUCAGAGACAUCAUGAGGAUGCCAGCUCAAGGCCCAGCCAGGCCUUGGUCCUCAGCUGCUGUCAUCCAGUAGGGUAAGUGGGACCCCCAGGAGGUGUUGGGGGACACUCCUCCCCUCCCCCACACUCACAGUCUGUUCACCGCCCAAGGCAGCAGGCUGGACUCGGUGCAGGGACCAUGGCUUGGCGUGGCCAGGUUGGAGUGGCCCCUGGGACUGAAAGCAGGGGGCGUGGGGGCUCUGAGGCGGGGCCGAGUGCGGGGACGUCCUGUGGCGGGUACCCUGCUGGGUCCUGGGUGGGGGCCACCACCAGGCAGCUGUGGGAACAUUCCAGACCACCUAGGAGUAGGGCCCCUUCACCGUUUGAAGCUGACUGUAAAAAACAUCUGACCUGUGUGCAAAGCUCAAGCCCAGAGGCCUCCAGGGUGUCCAGCCUCCAGGGUGCCUCCUACGCAGCCUCCACGUCCCCAUCCACUGCAGCCCCUGACCAUCGGGCACACCGUGGGGCCUUCGCUGGCCGCCGGGCCUCAGGUUCUGCUGCACCAAGUGAUUUUUAAAGCCCCAUCUGCCUUUCUCCACUUAUAAAGAACUUGGGACAUUUCCUCGAGGUUGGGCAUUUUUCCAGAUGUGGUUUCAGUGUCUCGCUUGCUACCUGGUCCCCUGUGCUGGGCGGUCCGCUGUGACGCACCUGGCAGUCCUUGCUCUAGGAUGGAUUCGGGCCGGCCCUUGUUCUGAGAACAGAGAACGGCCCUUGUUCUGAGGAGGCUGGGGUCUGGAAUCUGCUUCCUGGUCCCCUGCUGUGUGCAGACAGCCACCGUCACCCAGGCCCAGGGGUGCCUGCAGGUGCUGGGCAUCUCACCCUGGCCCCCACAGGGGCUCCCCAUGCCCUGCACCCCUCGGUCUGUGCCGGGGACUUCCCUGCUCUGCUGUUGCAGGCCUCGUCCUUUGCCGAGGGGGUCUCUUUCCCACGUGUCCCUGAGACUCCUCAGCCAUCCCAGAGGCUCUCGGCCGUCUGAGCACCCCUGACCAUGAAGCCUUCCUGGCCCACUCUCUGUGUGUGAGGCAGAGCCCAUCCCUACCAUUCCGACCCACACCAGAGGCUCCGGAAGGUUUGCUGACUGACCUGUGACUGCAAGAAGCUGAAGGAAUGUGGGCGCAGACCCGGCAGGGGCUUUUCUUGGUGCAAAGUCAACUGGCUGUCCAUGCAAGCCUGCUGCUGUGGCCAGCCCUCCCGCCAGGCGCCUGGUACCCUCCCUGGACCCAGUUGCCAGGACAGUGAUCCCCAGCUGUGGCCAGGACUCUGCCCGGGGCCCUGUCUACUCAGUGUCUCCAGUGGUCCCCAUGCAGAAACUGCCCCCCUUGCUGCCCAUGAGGCAUGGGAUAGGGUCAGCAUCCGAGAGGCAGGCCCUGCUGUUCCCCUCUGCACAGAGGCUGGGGGAGUGAGUUGCCCGGGCAAGUCCCCGGGCAGGCACUGGGCCUCCUGAGCAGGUGAGCUGAGAAGGCCCCAGCUGGUGUAGGCCUCGAGAGCUGCAGGACUGGCCAUGGGGCAGACCUGGCAUUGUCAUUCUAGAGCUGGGCCUGGGGGGUGGCUGGUGCAGUGCAGAUCUCAGGUGGAGGCCACCUGCCCGUCCUUUCCACGUGGCUCAGGGCUCAGACCCACCUGCCUGUCCCUGGAAGCCCCUAGACUGCUCAGAGCACAGACCUCAGUGGGAAAGACAGUAGAUAGGCCUGGGUAUGGUCUCCCAGCCCUGAGAAGUGGGGAGCCCACUCAGACCUUUCCAGGACCCCAGGUCCCCUCAGCAGCCCACAGAGCGUGGGUGGAGCCUGGGCUGGGGUUGGGUCACUUGGGAGCCAAAGGCCCAUUUCUGCUGCUUCCAGGGAGUCCCAGGGAGACGGCAGAGGCAGUGCCUGGCUGGGGCCCUGGUUGGCGUGCCGUUUGAGGGGUGCAUGCACUGGGAAGUUGGCCAGGCCUGCCCAAAUCAGGGGGCUUCCAGGAGGAGAGACAUCAGGAGGAUGGGCACAGAGGCGGCUUAGCACCAGGGCUGGCACCUCCAGGUAGGGGCUGUGGGGGGCUGGACCAGACAGGGAGGCUGUCACGAUGCCUGGCUGUUGGAUGGGGGCACAGAGGCUCUGAGUGGGGUGGCAGAGCUUGGCCACCAGGUCCAUCUGCACCCCCCAUGCCCCCUCACUACCCCCAGACCCCCAUGAUCCCAAACUACUCAGUCCCAGGGACCCCUGCAGAGCCUGUGGUGGGGGUGAUCUUCCACCCUGCCUGGCCCCUGCCCACCUCACCUCAGAACUUUCUCCAAAAAGUAAGAGCCCCGGGGGACGAAACUUCGAGGCUCCACCCCUUGGGCUCUGGUACAAACCCCGAGCCUCCUCCGAGGGCUGAGUCACUGGGAAAGCCGGGAUGGGCUGGCCCCUCCCCCUCCCUCUCCUUCCUUCCUCCUUCCCCCUUUCUCGGUCUCCCUCUUUUUCUCUUUGCUUUACUUCUCUUUCUUGCCUCCCUCUCUCCCUCUCUUCUUUCGUUCCUUUCAUCUUCUUCCCUUCCUCCGUCUUUGCCUUUCUUCUUUUCUGAGGGUAAAAAUAGCUGGAAAACCCCCUUAAAAAAGUUUAUUUUAAUCUUAGAGGGACAAUGUUGGUGUCCCAAAGCACAGUCCUUUGCCCCGGAGGAGCCACCGGCAGAGCCAGGAGCCCCUGAAGGACUUUGACCACACCCCCCACCCCACCCCGACCUGUGCCUGGUGCCCCAAGUGGAGCCUGGGCCAUCCUUGACCUCACCGCUGGGGUGAUGGAGAAGCAGCCGCCCGAGGCGAGAGUUUCUCAGGUGGCCGGGGUUUCCCCCCAUUUGCUCCAGACACAUUUAAACAAGCUGAGAACUUCCGUCCCCCCAUACUCCCCCCCGCGGACCCCCACGGACCCCCUCUGCAAAUGAACAUGGGCCUGGAAAUCGGGGUGUGGGUUACAGAGAGCACGGGGAAUUCUGCUCGUGAAGUAACACGGAGCACGAACAUAAGCAGGUACCGCACAUCUGCGAGCUAUUCGGGUCUCCGGGGGAAGGCAAAAAGCCCCAACAAGCCUUAAGUAAGACCAGGACGCUUCUAUAGUUUUGCUUUGACAGCUAAGGAAAAAAUCUGCCAAAAACCAGAGGCGCUGCUGAGUGUUGGCGUGGGAAUGCUAGUUUAGUCAGAGCCUUGCUCUGGGCCAUUUAAAUAAAAACAGACAUGUUGGUGGCAAAUGCCAGUUGAACACGCAGGAGAGCGGUGCUUCUCGGGCCCGGAGAAGGGUUUGCAGCUGCACUCUCUCUUCCCUUUUCUCUUGGCCUCCCCAGCCUUCUUAUCAUCACGAUCAGCAUUUCACUGGUAAACAUUUGGUGCAAUAAUUUUCAAAAAUCAGCAAGAAAAGUCUGAGCGUUUCAUGUGGCUGUGACUGCGUGGCCCCAGCUGGAAGCAUGGAUUCCCAGCGCCUCCCAGAGCCUGUCUCCGAGGGAUACUCUAAUCACUUGAGGGCCUUUGCACGACAUAAAUCAGACCGACUAUCUCUAGAGUGGAGAGGGGGAUAAACUCACUUGUAGCAAGUGAAGGCCAGAGGCUGCCCUGGGAUGGCAUUGCCUGUUCCCAGGGGCUUGUGGUGGUGCAGCAGACAUGGGGACCCCUGGGCCCCUUCCCCUCCUUGCUGGGGAUGCCACACAGACCCACGUUCAGGGACCUGAAUUCAGAGCCUGCCCCAGGGGUGGCGAAUGUAUCUGGGACACUGAGGACCCCCCUACCGGGUGCAUCUCAUGGCCUUUUGGUCUUUUUUUUUGAGACGGAGUCUCACUUUGUUGCCCAGGCUGGAGUGUCAUGGGGCGAUCUCCGCUCACUACCACCUCCGCCUCCCGGGUUCAAGCAAUUCUCCUGUCUCAGCCUCCGAGUAGCUGGGAUUACAGGUAUGUGCCACCACGCCAGCUAAUUUUUCUAUUUUUAAUAGAGAUAGGGUUUCACCAUGUUGGUCAGGCUGGUCUUGAACUCCUAACCUCGGGUGAUCUGCCUGCCUUGGCCUCCCGAAGUGUUGGGAUUACAGGCGUGAGCCACUGCACCUGGCCAGCCUUUUGGUCUUGAAGGGUCUCUGGGAGGGCCUCAGAGAAUGUCUUGGUUUCCUCACUCUUGGGUUCCCAUCGACUGAGGUCAGGGCUGGGAAGGGGUGAUGAGCCCAGGACUCUUCUGGCGAGAGCGAGGGUCUAUGUUGGGGGGCUCCCUUCUGCCACCUCUCCUUGGUGACAUGGGGCUGGCUGGAGAGUCCCUCCGUGCCUGGGAGUUCCUCAGUGUAGGGGGGGAAGGGGGCCACUGCAAUGAAUCUGACACCAGCCCCCUCUCUCUCCGCCCUGCUGGCAGCCCUCACUCAUAUGGGGGGCGGGUCUGUCCUCCUUUCCCCAAAGCUGGGGGUCCUGAGUGUGGUUGGGGUAACGUCUGGUCCUCCUUAGAACAGUGGGGCUUGGAAUUCAUUCAAGGGAAGAAGAGUGAAGGAACGCAGAUGCCGACUGCAUGGAGCCCCCCCGGGCUGCAGCCCCUAGAGCCUGGGCGCUCUGUGAGCCAGAAAGAGAACGGCUGGGGAGAGGGCUGUGUGAGGCCCUGUUCUUCCAAGACCGCUGCGGAGGACCGACGGGGCCCAGGGACCCUGACUGAGGUGUGCCGAGCACAGCAGCUCUGGACAGGCCGCACCGGCCUCUCUGUCUGUCAUCUGUCCACCUGUUGGUGGGCAGGAACAGACCUGAUGCUGUAAGAAGAGGCCCCCAGGACCCUGCCUCUCCCAUUGGCUGAGCCUGGACUGUGGAGCCAGCCGCCCUCACACUGGGCACAGAUGACCGACUUAGGUUUUGAGAAGAUCCAAACAGCAGCAGGACGUGCACCUGGUAGGGGUAGGAGGGCCUCCCCUGGACUCAAAAGUGUAUUCGCGGAGCCCCUUCCCUGCAGCGUAGGCUCUGGGGGGACAGUGGCCAGGACGGAGGCCCUCGUGGAAAGGGGGAGAUGUGAACAGUGAGCCUCCUGCAUGCAGGCAUCUGGGAAAGAACAUUCCAGCCAAGUGGCUCUGAGCACACCCCGACCCUGGCCACCCUGGCCCUGUGGACCAACCCUGGGGCCCAGGAUUAAUGACAGCCAGUGCUCGCUGGUGCCUCCAGCCUGGGCCAGGCCUGUGGGCUGGUCCCUUCAAUGAUGGGGCAAGCUCAGCCCCGUCCACACCCUUCUCCUCCUCCUCUGUGCUUCCCUCCACCCCCAGGAGUGGGCUCCAGGUCUGUCACUCGUCACUCAUGGGGGGCUGUGGGUUGACUCGUAUUCCCCCAAAAGACUCGCUGUAUACCCCCAGAGCUUGUGAGCAGGACCUGUUUUGGAGAUGGGUCUUUGCAGAUGUCGUCGAGUUAAGACAAGGCCAUGCUGGAGUGGGGCCUGCCCUAAUCCAACGACUGGGGCCCUUGGCAGGAGAGGGAGGUUUGGGGAGAAGGCGCUGGGAAGACAGGCAGAGGCUGGAGACAGUGCAGCCCCAAGCUGGGAGCACAGGGGUUGCCGGCACCCAACAGAAGCUGGAGGAGGUGGGAAGGAUCCUCCCUAGAGCCUUGGGAGGGGGCCCGGUCCUGUGACACCCAGAUUUUGGAUUUCUGGCCUUCGGAACUGAGAGAGCACACAUUUCUGCGGUUUGAAGCCACCAAAUUUUUGGUAAUUUGUUCUGGCCAGGAAAUUAAUACCAGGGAUAAAGGUGUUUUAAUGCAGACAAAGACAGUUUUUGAAUUAACCAAGCUUUGCGCAAGGCUGCCGGGAUUGACUGGGGGAAGUGAGGGACUCAGCAGCUUCCCCGACGCUCGCCAGGCACCGGCCUCCAUACACGCUUGCUGGCGGUGGCUACGGCAGGUCGCUCUUCAGGUGAAACCACAUAAUGAGCAGCCUUAAGCCUGUCGAUUUACACAGCAGAGGCUGCCUGGCCUGGCGCUCUUCCUGGCUGGAGGACUCUGCCUUCCCCCUCUGCCUGCCUGUGGCCACUCCGGCUGCAGAGGAGACUGGCAGACGACGUUCUCAUCCCUGGUCGGGGCAAAAGUUCUGCUCAAAUAUGACAACGGUGAAACUCGGAAUAGCGACAGAGCCAACCCAUGAUUGAGGCAGGGCUGGAGGCUUUCUGGAAAACGCACGGAGAAACACGAGGGCCCAGCUGUGCCCUGGGCCGCCCCAUGAGUCCAGCCUUCUUCGUCCUAGUCCCUUCUCCAAAGAAAGGACAAAACCACUGAAAGGGUUCGUCUGGGUCACAAACGUCCCAAAUUGGCUUCCGCGUGGAAACUAAACAAGGGUAGGUCCCAGCCCCUGGGAUUCAGGUGAAACCCGAGGCCUGUCUGAGGUCACAGCGUCUUCCCGAGGACGUCAGCCCUGUUGGCUGUGUCUGGGGCCAGGCUGAGGCAUAGCGGGCCAGGAGGCCGAGCUUCCCAAAGGAGCUGCACUGUCUUUUCCUUAGAAUAUGAAAUCAAUGUCUGCCACCUUGAAUCCUCAUGGACAAGACUCCUUGGAAGCCAGCCUGUGUCAGGGCCAGCGUCCCCCAGGGCUGACACCUACACCCUCGCAUUCUCAGCGUGACUCGGGACAGUGGCAGAACCCGCUGGGUUCUCUCUACGGGAGUGCUUUUUUUUUUUCUUUUCUUUUUUUUUUUUUUUUUUUUUUUUGAGUCGGAGUUUCACUCUUGUUGCCCAGGCUGGAGUACAAUGGUGUGAUCUCGGCUCACUGCAACCUCCACCUCCUGGGUUCAAGCAGUUCUCCUGUCUCAGCCUCCCGAGUAGCUGGGAUUACAGGUGCACACCACCAUGCCUGGCUAAUUUUUGUAUUUUUAGUAGAGAUGAGGUUUCACGGUGUUGGCCAAGCUGGUCUCGAACUCCUGACCUCAAGUGAUCCACCUGCCUUGGCCUCCCGAAGUGCUGGGAUUUCUGGCGUGAGCCACCGCACCCAGCUCGGAGUGCGUUAUGACUAGAGGCAAAGACAGCAGCAUGAUCUUCAGCUUGCAAAUGAGACACAGAAUGACAAUGAAUCUUCACCGAAGUUAACUUGAACCUGGAUGGAUGAGUGGCCGGGUCGCCAAAAAGCUCCUCGGACCCUGCCAGAGUGUGAGCUCUGCCAGGAGGGCCGGGGCUCCAGGAUCCCAGGCUGGGCAGUCACUGGCUCCCCCAGGAAGGGCCACAUUCCGGUGGGCAGACAGAGGGUUGGGGAGGGUGGUGGGCAGCCAGCCGCCUGGAUCCCGGCCGGGGCACCGUCCCGCAGAGCUUGUCCCGCACAGACUCAGUUUCCUAACCCAGCAAGUGGGAGUCCACUGUGAGAAGUCCAGCCCUACGCAGAUGCGUGCGAAUCCCCUAAGAGCCAUGCCUGAGCCCUUGGCGGAAGCAGUUGGCUCCUCGUGUCAUGCAAAGGGCGGCAUUUUCAUUCCUAACAGGGAGGUGGCCCCGGAGCAUCCAGUUCAAAGGAGCUAGGAUGAUCCAGGGUCCUCUCACGUGGGCCUUGGUGAGUGGCCACACCCUCUGAGACCCCCUUUCAUCCCCAUAGAAAGGUCCUAGCAGGGCUGUGCCAGGGGGAUCCGCGGGUGGCAGGGUGGCCCCAUCUGCAGUGGGCCCAGGAGGAUAGCAACAGGACUUAGCAGUGGUGGGAUUGUAUUUCUGGGCCCUUCUUCCCCCACAGCCCACAGCCUCCUGACGGGACCCCUCCCCCCAGAACCUGAAGGACGGACCUCAGGUGUGGAGCUCCCUCACCAGACAGAGGGGAGGAGCCCAGGUCCAUCUCCUCAAAGGGACCCACCAGCCCCUCACGCGGCUGCACACAAGGCAGUCCCAGCCAGGCCCCAGGUUGAGGCAGACUCAGCCUAUGUCCUCAAGAGGCUCCCUGGAGAAGGCAGGACCCAGAAGCUUCUCUCUCGGCUGACAUGGCCUUUGCGGGCAGCCUUCCCACCCACAUCCCCAGCAUGAGCCCCAGCUCCUUGGAGCCCAGAGUCCAAGAAAUGGCCUUUCUGCCACUGACCCCUCCCGUGGAAUGGCUCCUCCCGAGCAGGGAACCUCUGCUGGGACCCGUCAGCUGCAAGAAGGCCCGUCCCCGAGAGAGCCCUGCAGGGCAAGGGGAGAGGGACCCCGGGGUAGGGGUGGAGAGCAGCUGAGGGGACAGACACAGAGAAGACCAGGCAGGGGCAUAGCCUGCUGAUGGGGGAUGCCAUCCUCUCGGUCACAGCUGAGCCAGGGCAGCCUCUAAGCUUCCUAAGUGGGGAAACCAAGGCAGAGAACCCCAGGACUGGGGCCACCGCUGUGGUCAGCCGGUUGGGGGUGGCCUGGGCCUCUCCAGUCUCCACUCUUCCAUCCAGCUUCAUGGGGAGCAACAUUUUUUUCACCUCAAGGCCAAAUUAGGAAGAACAAACAUGUUUUAUUUAUCAGUGUCACUUUUUUUUUUUUUUGUUUUAGAGACAGGGGUCUCACUAUGUUGCCCAGGUUGGACUUGAAUUCCUGGGCUCAAACAAUCCUCCUGCCUCAGCCUCCCAAGUUACUAGGACUACAGGUGCACCACUUAGUUACAUUUUUUUUAUACACGUGAAAACAGCUUUUUUGCUGGGCGCAGUGGCUCACGCCUGUAAUCCUAGCCCUUGGGGAGGCCGAGGCAGGUGGAUCACCUGAGGUCAGGAGUUCGAGACCAGCCUGGCCAACAUGGUGAAACCCCGUCUCUACUAAAAAUACAAAAAUUAGCUGGGUGUGAUGAUGGGAGCCUGUAGUCCCAUCUACUCAGGAGGCUGAGGCAGGAGAGUGGCAUGAACCAGGGAGGCGGAGGUGGCAGUGAGCCGAGAUCGCGCCAUUGCACUCCAGCCUGGGUGACAGAGUGAAACUCCAUCUCAAAAAAAAAAAAAAAAAAGAAAAGAAAAAGAAAGUAGUUUUUUUUCCCCCUAUGCUAAAAAUUCAAACAAAGCAAACAAGCAAAUUUUUAGAGAAGAAAAUUCCAUUGGCCACAAUCUGUAGCAGGGAGAGCUGUUUUUUUUGUUUUGUUUUUGUUUUUUUUUUGAGGCAGAGUCUUGCUCUGUCACCCAGACUGGAAUGCAGUGGUGCAAUCUCGGCUCACUGUAACCUCUGCCUCCCGGGUUCACGCCAUUCUCCUGCUUCAGUCUCCAAAGUAGCUGGGACUACAGGUGCCCGCCACCACGCCCAGCUAAUUUUUUGUAUUUUUAGUAGAGACGGGAUUUCACCGUAUUAGCCAGGAUGGUCUCAAUCUCCUGACCUCAUGAUCCACCUGCCUUGGCCUCCCAAAGUGCUGGGAUUACGGGCGUGAGUCACUGCACCCAGCCUGAGGGCUGUGUUUUAAAUGAAACAUGCACCUCUUUGCUCCUUGAUAUGGUUUGGCUCUGUGUACCCCCACCCCCAAUCAAGUUGUAAUCCCCACAUGAAGGAGGGACCUGGUGGAAGGUGAUUUAAUCAUGGAAUGGACUUUCCCCUUCGCUGUCUCCCUCUCCUGCUCUGGCCGUGUGAAGACAGAACCCACUUCCCCUUUGCCUUUCGCCAUGAUUUCCUGAGGCCUCCUCAGCCAUCCCUCCUGCACAGCCUGUGGGACUGUGAGCUGAUUAAACCUCUUUUCUUCAUAAAUUACCUAAUUCUCAGGUAGUUCUUUAUAGCCGUGUGAGAAGAGACUAACACAGAAAAUGGUACUGGGAGAGAGGCACUGCUCUAAAGAUGCCUGAGAAUGUGGAAGCAGCAUGGGAACUGGGUCGUGGACAGAGGCUGGGACAGUUCGAAGGGCUCAGAAGAAGACAGGAAGGUGAGGGAAAGUUUGGAACUUCCUAGAGAUUUGUUGAAUGGUUGUAACCAAAAUGCUGAUAGCGAUACGGACAGUGAAGUCCAGGCUGAGGUGAUCUCAGAUGGAGAUGAGGAACUUAUUGGGAAAGGGAGGAAAGGUCACUCUUGCUAUGCUCCAGCAAGGAGACAGGCAGCACUGUGCCCCUGCUCUAGGGAUCUGUGGAACUUUGAACUUGAGAGAGAUGAUUUAGGGUAUCUGAUGGAAGAAAUGUCUAGGCAGCAAAGCAUUCGAGAUGUGGUCUGGCUGCUUCUAAAAGCUUAUGUUUAUUUGCAUAAAGAAGGAAACGACCCAAAAUCGGAACUUAUGUUUAAAAGUGAAGCAGAACAUAAAAGUUUGAAAAUUUUGCAGCCUGACUAUGCAAUUGAAAAGUAAAACCCAUUUUCUAGGGAGGAAUUCAAGCCUGCAGAAAUUUGCAUAAGCAAAAAAGAGCCAAAUGUUAAUCACCAAGACAAUGGGGAAAAUGUCUCCAGGGCAUUUCAGAGACCUUCACAGCAGCCCCUCCCAUCACAGGCCUGGAGGCCUGGGAGGGAAAAAUGGUUUCAUGGGUCAGGCCCAGGGCCCUGCUGCUUUGUGCAGCCUUGGGACAUGGCACCCUGCAUCCCAGCCACUCUAGCUCCAGCCAUGGCUGAAAGGUAUACCUCAGACCAUUGCUUCAGAGGGUGCAAGCCCCAAGCCUUGGCAGUUUCCAUGUGCUGUUGGGCUCACAGAUGUGCAGAAAGCAAGCGUUACGGUUUUGGAGCCUCCACCUAGGUUUCAGAGGAUGUAUGGAAAUGCCUGGAUGUCCAGACAGAAGUCUGCUGCAGGGGGUGAGCCCUCAUGGAGAACCUCUACUAGAACAGUUCGGAGGGAAAAUAUGGGGUUGGAGCCCCCACACAGAGUCCCCGCUGGGGCACUGCCUAGUGGAGCAGUGAGGAGAGGGCCACUGUCCUCCAGACCCCAGAAUGGUAGAUCCACUGACAGCUUGCACUGUGUGCCUGGAAAAGCCACAGGUACUCAAUGCCAGCUUGUGAAAGCAGCCACAGGGGGCUGUAUCCUGCAGAGCCAGAGGGGUGGAGCUGCCCAAGGCCUUGGGAUCCCACCCCUUGAGUCAGUGUGGCCUGGAUGUGAGACAUGGAGUCAAAGGAUAUUGUUUUGGAGCUUUAAGAUUUAAUGACUGCUUCAGAUCACUUGAAGUCAGGAGUUUGAGAUCAGCCUGGCCAAUGUGGUGAAACCCCAUUUCUACUAAAAAUACAAAAAUUAGCUGGGCGUGGUGGCAGGUGCCUGUAAUCCCAGCUACUCGGGAGGCUGAGGCAAGAGAAUUGCUUGAACCCAGGAGGCGGAGGUUGCAGUGAGCCGAGGUCGUGCCAUUGCACUCCAGCCUGGGGGACAAGAGCAAGACUUCAUCUCAAAAAAAAAACAAAAAACCGUUUAAUGACUACCCUACUGGGUUCAGGACAUGCAUGGGGCCUGUAGGCCCUUUGUUUUGGCCAAUUUCUCCCUUUUGAAAUGGGAGCAUUUACCCAGUGCCUGUACCCACAUUGUAUC